CCUCAGAGGAAGAAGUUUAGUUUCACCGCACUCUGUGUUGUUGUUUUGUUGGGAUGCUGCUUUAAUAGAAACGGAAUCUCUGGAGGAGUAUAAUCUGAACUGAGAUCUGCUGCGUUAAGAGUUCAUUAAAGAGGAGAGUGAAGGGAACACCAGUGAACCAGAAACCUUGAGAAUAAAACACGAGGAACAAGGAGGGGAUUCCAAUACAAUAUUAGGGCACUUUAAAGUACCAUAUGACCAGCUUUUUAAACGCUCUUCAAAGUGUGCUUUGGCCUGCACGCCUGCUGUUACUCAACCAGCAUGAGAAGACAAGCCGUCUAGUCUCAACAGCUUUUCUUUCUUUCUUCUACAUCAGUUUAUUUUCCUGUUCAGUUUUUUGUUCUAAGUUUUGCCACAAAGCUACGUCAGAUGUUGUCUGCACCAACUUUAAAACUUCAACCAUUGUACACGACUUCACACCAUCCUUCAGCCAACGCCCAUGACAUCACUUCCAAUGACUACUGAACUUCCAGCCAAUCAACAACCUACAGAAACCCCUUUCUGCAGCCAUGCCAUGCAAAAUUAAUUCCUUUAAAAUGAAGGCAACACAAGUACAACCUCCAGAUUCUUGCUGGUUUAUUGAUUAAAAACUGUUCAGUAAUUUCCUAUAUGGAUAUGAUUCCUCUUUGUUUCUGCAACUCGUGUGAAUGUAUGAGUGUGUGUUUGUUAGAUUAGUUUACAUGUCUUUUUGAUUUCUCCAAUAAAGUCUUAUGUACACUGAAAAUUGUAUGUUUUUUGUUUUGUGCUUACAAGAUAAUGUCUUAAACUGCUGAUCCUGUUACCAUGCUAAUAAAGUGUUUGUUUUUUUUUUGUUAAUUUCUUUUUAUAUAUAUAAUUUUGAUUGAUGUUAUGAGGCUCAUUCAAUGAAUCUCUGGCCAACUGAUCAACCAUAAAACAACGAUUCUGAACAAAUUCCCUAUAAAUAACAUAAAUAAUUCCAUUUGAGCUAAACUGACCUGUUUCCCUUACAACAACUUAUUUUCCAUUUUGAUUUCCUCUUUUUUCAGCUUGGAAAAAAAUUAAUAUUAAUUUUACUUGUGAACUUGCUAAUCUUGCUAAUCAGUUUUAACUAGGGCUGAAACAAUUCCUCGAGUAACUCGAUUACAAAAAAUGAUCGAGUCAAAUUCCUCUGCCUCGAAGCCUCUUUUAAUUUAUUUUAAAUCUCACGUCAGGUUCUUUCGCAAUAAUUUUUUUAAUGUGACACAACGCAUUUACAUCACCCAAAAAGCAGAAGGAGACACAAGCGCGGAGUCCGAAAUCGCAUACUGCAAGGAGUCAGCAUUGUUUUGAUUUGAGGUCGCGUGCAAACGUGAAUAGAACGUCGUGGCGUGUGUCCAUUGCAAGAUAGGGCUGGCAUACCACAACUAGGGCCCUAUGAUUUCCGCAAUGCAUUA